GACGAACGCUGGCGGCGUGCCUAAUACAUGCAAGUCGAGCGAUGAAGAUUGGUGCUUGCUCCAAUUUGAAGAGCAGCGAACGGGUGAGUAACGCGUGGGGAAUCUGCCUUUGAGCGGGGGACAACAUCUGGAAACGAAUGCUAAUACCGCAUAAUAACUUUAAACAUAAGUUUUAAGUUUGAAAGAUGCAAUUGCAUCACUCAAAGAUGAUCUCGCGUUGUAUUAGCUAGUUGGUGAGGUAAAGGCCCACCAAGGCGAUGUUACAUAGCCGACCUGAGAGGUGGACCGGCCAAUUGGGAAUGGAACAAGGCCCCAAAUCCCUCGGGAGGCAGCCAGAGGGGAACUUUGGCAAUUGGCGGAAGGCCUGACGAAGAAAGCCGGGUGGGGGAAGGAAGGUUUCGGAUCGGAAAACUCUGUUGGUAGGGAAGAACGUUAGCGAGAGUGGAAAGCUCAUCAAGUGACGGUAACUACCCAGAAAGCGACGGCUAACUACGUG
rnacentral:rRNA from 1 species